GAUGAAGAACGUAGCGAAAUGCGAUAAGUAAUGUGAAUUGCAGAAUUCAGUGAAUCAUCGAAUCUUUGAACGCACAUUGCGCCCGCCAGCACUCUGGCGGGCAUGCCUGUUCGAGCGUCAUUUCAACCAUCAAGCCCCCAGGGGCUUGUGCUGGGGCCCUGCGGCUGCCCGCAGGCCCUGAAAACCAGUGGCGGGCUCGCUAGUCACACCGAGCGCAGUAGCACAUCUCGCUCAGGGCGUGCGGCGGGCUCCUGCCGUGAAACCCCCCACUGUAACCCCAAAUGUUGACCUCGGAUCAGGUAGGAAUACCCGCUGAACUUAAGCAUAUCAAUAAGCGGAGGA
rnacentral:misc_RNA from 1 species